AUGCGGCCUCCUUCUUGCCCACUGCCUUUGAAUCGUGGCCCCGUUCACAUGACUGGAAGGGCUCACUGGGGAUUUUCCCAUGUGGCCGGUGGGGAGGAGGCUGGGAGGGCCCCCCGCCGCCCCCCCCCCCAGAGUUGGUGGAAGGGGUGGAGACGGCAGGCUAGUAUCUUCCUGGAGUUUGGUUUAUCCUGGCAGGGGCCACUGGAGGGAGGGAGGGAGGGAGGACAAACUGCUUACUUGAUAUCACGAAUACCUCCUGGAAACCUGAAGGAUUUCACUGGAUUUGCAGGAAGGAUUCAAGAAAAGAAAAAGACAGCAGUCACAGAUGUACCUCCUUUGUGGCUGAAAGAACAUUCCCCACCUGGUGAGGAAAGCAGGGCCCAGCCCUGGAAAGAGACUUGCUGCUGUUCUCUCCUGGGGGAAGGCCUAUCGCAGGCAAACCCCGCUCCCCAGCCCCUGACCCGGGCCUGCCUUUUCAUUUCAAGAUUUAUUAAAUGAAGCAAUGUAGAAAGAAAGAAAGAAGAAAGAAAGAAGAAAGAAAGAAAGAAAGAAAGAAAGAAAGAAAGAAAGAAAGAAAGAGCAUCCCGCUGAUGUUAGCUCCCUUCUUCUGCCUGAAGUUCCCAGGAAAUGCAUCUCAGAAAUACUGGGGUGCUGCUGGGAUGACCGCCCCCCACCCCGUGUGGGGACAGAAGGAAGUGGGACUGGGCCAAGCCCACCAGCGGGGCCUUCUGGAGCUGAGUGGCCUGCAGAGAUGUCCCACCCGUGGCAAGGGGCCCAGCCUCAUACUCCACGUCAACCUGUCUUUAGAUGGAAACUAUCCCCCCCCCGCCCCCCACCCCAGUUCGGGAGGAGUCCUAACGUUCGGCCACACAGCUCCCUCCAGCUGAGGUGGUUCUGCAGGCCCAGAGCUGUGAGCCUCCCAACCAGGGCCUCCAGCCUGGAGGGGGGCUCUGGGCCCUGCACCCCAGCACCCACGACUACAGACUACAGCCUCCCGCCUCUCUCUUCCUACCCCGAGCAUAACAUCAGUUUCCAAGAGGGAGUUAAAUUCCCUUGUAGGAGAGAAGCCGAAUGGGAAUGAGCAGCCGGCCAUUCCUGCUGGGGCCCAAUUCUUACUUAGGUGUGCUGCUUUGGGCAAGUUCUUUCAUUUCUUUUUACUCCCAUUUUUCUCAUUUUUACUUUUUCAAAGGUUUAUUUAUUGAUCUCAGGGUCCUGGGAUCGAUCCCCACAUCAGGCUCCCUGCUCAGCUGGGAGCCUGCUUCUCCCUCUCCUUCUGCUUGUGCUGUCACUAUCUCUGUCUCUGUCUCUCUCUCUCAAAUAAAUAAAUCUUUAAAAAAAAAAAAAACA
rnacentral:lncRNA from 12 species